UCAAAGAAGACAGGGACGGCAAAGGAUGAGAUGCUUCUGCUUUUGUGAUGAGCAGCAAAUAUCAGUCUCUUUGAGAAGCUCCGGCAGGCGAAGAAACGUCACUAGCUCCACAAGCUGGCCUUCCUGUACCACUGCAUCUCGGGUUUUGGCAAUUUCUAUGUGCCACCUCAGCAGAGUUUUCAAACCAUCUUCAUGGGAAGUAGACAAGAGUCACUGGAAAAGACAACAAUGGUAGGAAAAGCUGAAGGCAGCAGCAGAAGAUGAAGA